rnacentral:rRNA from 1 species
AGCGUACACGGUGGAUGCCCUGGCAGUCAGAGGCGAUGAAGGACGUGCUAAUCUGCGAUAAGCGUCGGUGAGGUGAUAUGAACCGUUAUAACCGGCGAUUUCCGAAUGGGGAAACCCAGUGUGUUUCGACACACUAUCAUUAACUGAAUCCAUAGGUUAAUGAGGCGAACCGGGGGAACUGAAACAUCUAAGUACCCCGAGGAAAAGAAAUCAACCGAGAUUCCCCCAGUAGCGGCGAGCGAACGGGGAGGAGCCCAGAGCCUGAAUCAGUGUGUGUGUUAGUGGAAGCGUCUGGAAAGGCGCGCGAUACAGGGUGACAGCCCCGUACACAAAAAUGCACAUACUGUGAGCUCGAUGAGUAGGGCGGGACACGUGGUAUCCUGUCUGAAUAUGGGGGGACCAUCCUCCAAGGCUAAAUACUCCUGACUGACCGAUAGUGAACCAGUACCGUGAGGGAAAGGCGAAAAGAACCCCGGCGAGGGGAGUGAAAAAGAACCUGAAACCGUGUACGUACAAGCAGUGGGAGCCUCUUAAUGGGGUGACUGCGUACCUUUUGUAUAAUGGGUCAGCGACUUAUAUUCUGUAGCAAGGUUAACCGAAUAGGGGAGCCGAAGGGAAACCGAGUCUUAACUGGGCGUUAAGUUGCAGGGUAUAGACCCGAAACCCGGUGAUCUAGCCAUGGGCAGGUUGAAGGUUGGGUAACACUAACUGGAGGACCGAACCGACUAAUGUUGAAAAAUUAGCGGAUGACUUGUGGCUGGGGGUGAAAGGCCAAUCAAACCGGGAGAUAGCUGGUUCUCCCCGAAAGCUAUUUAGGUAGCGCCUCGUGAAUUCAUCUCCGGGGGUAGAGCACUGUUUCGGCAAGGGGGUCAUCCCGACUUACCAACCCGAUGCAAACUGCGAAUACCGGAGAAUGUUAUCACGGGAGACACACGGCGGGUGCUAACGUCCGUCGUGAAGAGGGAAACAACCCAGACCGCCAGCUAAGGUCCCAAAGUCAUGGUUAAGUGGGAAACGAUGUGGGAAGGCCCAGACAGCCAGGAUGUUGGCUUAGAAGCAGCCAUCAUUUAAAGAAAGCGUAAUAGCUCACUGGUCGAGUCGGCCUGCGCGGAAGAUGUAACGGGGCUAAACCAUGCACCGAAGCUGCGGCAGCGACGCUUAUGCGUUGUUGGGUAGGGGAGCGUUCUGUAAGCCUGUGAAGGUGGCCUGUGAGGGUUGCUGGAGGUAUCAGAAGUGCGAAUGCUGACAUAAGUAACGAUAAAGCGGGUGAAAAGCCCGCUCGCCGGAAGACCAAGGGUUCCUGUCCAACGUUAAUCGGGGCAGGGUGAGUCGACCCCUAAGGCGAGGCCGAAAGGCGUAGUCGAUGGGAAACAGGUUAAUAUUCCUGUACUUGGUGUUACUGCGAAGGGGGGACGGAGAAGGCUAUGUUGGCCGGGCGACGGUUGUCCCGGUUUAAGCGUGUAGGCUGGUUUUCCAGGCAAAUCCGGAAAACCAAGGCUGAGGCGUGAUGACGAGGCACUACGGUGCUGAAGCGACAAAUGCCCUGCUUCCAGGAAAAGCCUCUAAGCAUCAGGUAACAUUAAAUCGUACCCCAAACCGACACAGGUGGUCAGGUAGAGAAUACCAAGGCGCUUGAGAGAACUCGGGUGAAGGAACUAGGCAAAAUGGUGCCGUAACUUCGGGAGAAGGCACGCUGAUAUGUAGGUGAAGCGACUUGCUCGUGGAGCUGAAAUCAGUCGAAGAUACCAGCUGGCUGCAACUGUUUAUUAAAAACACAGCACUGUGCAAACACGAAAGUGGACGUAUACGGUGUGACGCCUGCCCGGUGCCGGAAGGUUAAUUGAUGGGGUUAGCGGCAACGCGAAGCUCUUGAUCGAAGCCCCGGUAAACGGCGGCCGUAACUAUAACGGUCCUAAGGUAGCGAAAUUCCUUGUCGGGUAAGUUCCGACCUGCACGAAUGGCGUAAUGAUGGCCAGGCUGUCUCCACCCGAGACUCAGUGAAAUUGAACUCGCUGUGAAGAUGCAGUGUACCCGCGGCAAGACGGAAAGACCCCGUGAACCUUUACUAUAGCUUGACACUGAACAUUGAGCCUUGAUGUGUAGGAUAGGUGGGAGGCUUUGAAGUGUGGACGCCAGUCUGCAUGGAGCCGACCUUGAAAUACCACCCUUUAAUGUUUGAUGUUCUAACGUGGGCCCGUAAUCCGGGUUGCGGACAGUGUCUGGUGGGUAGUUUGACUGGGGCGGUCUCCUCCUAAAGAGUAACGGAGGAGCACGAAGGUUGGCUAAUCCUGGUCGGACAUCAGGAGGUUAGUGCAAUGGCAUAAGCCAGCUUGACUGCGAGCGUGACGGCGCGAGCAGGUGCGAAAGCAGGUCAUAGUGAUCCGGUGGUUCUGAAUGGAAGGGCCAUCGCUCAACGGAUAAAAGGUACUCCGGGGAUAACAGGCUGAUACCGCCCAAGAGUUCAUAUCGACGGCGGUGUUUGGCACCUCGAUGUCGGCUCAUCACAUCCUGGGGCUGAAGUAGGUCCCAAGGGUAUGGCUGUUCGCCAUUUAAAGUGGUACGCGAGCUGGGUUUAGAACGUCGUGAGACAGUUCGGUCCCUAUCUGCCGUGGGCGCUGGAGAACUGAGGGGGGCUGCUCCUAGUACGAGAGGACCGGAGUGGACGCAUCACUGGUGUUCGGGUUGUCAUGCCAAUGGCACUGCCCGGUAGCUAAAUGCGGAAGAGAUAAGUGCUGAAAGCAUCUAAGCACGAAACUUGCCCCGAGAUGAGUUCU